UGUCCAGUAACUGUGAACAAGAGAGACAGUAAGACGGCCUCAUCCCCCUAUGCUAGCUCUAAACUUUCCUUUUACUUCUUUGCUCCCUUCCUCUACCUCGAUCUUUCUUGCGCUUCCUCUCCGUACCAUUUUGAGAGGUCGUCUAACUGUGGAAUAGAGGAAGAGAACGGCCUCAUCCCCCUACGCAAGCCCUACUCUUUCCUUUCACUGCUACACUCCCUUCCUCUACCUCCUCGAUCUUUUUUGCAUUUCCUCUCAGUACUAUUGGGGUUAACUGUGAACAAGAGGGACAGAAAGACGGCCCAUCCCCCUAUGCUAGCCGUAAACAUUCCCUUCCUCUAACUUCCUGUCCCUCGCUCUCUCACUCUCUACUAUUUCAAGAGGUCGUUUAAAUGUGAAAAAGAGAAGUAGGUCAGCCUCACCCUCCUUUCAUGCUCCCUUGGCACUCUUCUCCUUUCUCCUCUCUCUCUCUUCUUCACAUUGUCUAUCUUCAUCAUUGCUCAAGUCUUCCAUCAACAGCAGUAUUUCCUCAUCACUCCAUCUAACUAUCUAUAACUCUGUUCUUCCUUCUAUUCGCUUUUUUAUUCCAAACUUUCUCCUCCUCCCAAAUUCACUUGCACCAGUCUCCCAUAUCUCUCUCCUCCUCCUUCCCCUUCUAUUCACCCUGCUCUCCCCUACCCCUCUCUCUCUCUCUGUCUCCUAUCUAUUCCUUCCAGUUAUACAGAGGUUGAUAGACGCUCUGGGUAACCUAUAUGAAGAAGUCUUGUCUAUAUAUUUGUUACAGUGGCAAAACAUAAGUCAUAAGUUCCCUGGUUUGCAUGGAGUGAGGUUGAGUCUGCCCUUAACUUUUUCUCUGUUUUAUAUUCCUAUAUUGACGGAGACUAAUUUAUGGGUUCUAUUUGUCCUAGCUGUGUGUUGUUUGUGUUAGUUUUCAUAUAUAUUGAUAGUGAUAGAUAGAUAGAUAGAUGGAUAGAUAAAUAGAUAGACCCUUUCUUCUUCUACUUCCUCCUCCUCCUCCUCCUCCUACCUCUUGGACUCAGCAGUUCCUAAUACUGUUUCUUUUGAGAUGCUAAACUCCGCAGUCUUUGAUCUCUCUCUCUCUCUCUCUCUCUCUCUCUCUCUCUCUCUCUCUAAUUGGACUGACUACCUGAGGCCUCCACUCUAUAAAAUUUAGAAUAUUUAUAACCCUAAGAAAAGACAGACAGAAAGAUAUUAAAAUCCUCAUUAGCUAUCUUUUAUCUUUUCUUUUCUUUCUUUUCUGACGGGUAAAUUUCAAGAGACGUAUCAACAAAAUAUAUUAAUGGAAAAGCAAAGAGGAAAAAUUUUAGAGAGCUCAAGUGUGAAUUUUGAAAGACGUCCAAAUCGUAAUCUAUCAUAAAGAAGUUACGGAGAAAGAAAAAUUAUAUUGGAACUCGAGUGUCGCUCCUAUUUACAAAAACUAUAUAAAUCUCAGUUCUCUCUAAACUAUAUAAAUCUGAAUUCUCUCUAAACUAUAUAAAUCUGAAUUCUCUCUAAACUAUAUAAAUCUUAAUUCUCUUUAAACUAUAUAAAUCCUAAUUCUCUCUCAACUAUAUAAGUCUCAAUUCUCUCUAAACUAUAUAAAUUGCAGUUCUCCCAAAAUAAUAUACAUCAAUUCUCUCAACUAUAUAAAUCCUAAUCCUCCCUAAUCUAUAUAAAUCUAAAUUCUCUAUAUAAAUCAUGACCUUUUAAAACAAUUCUAACCUAACGAGGAAAAACGACAAAAAAAAAACGAAA